rnacentral:rRNA from 1 species
UGGUGGAGUGAUUUGUCUGGUUAAUUCCGUUAACGAACGAGACCUCGACCUGCUAAAUAGUUUGUUAAAUGAUUCGUUAUUUAUUACAAACUUCUUAGAGGAACUGCUGCCGUUCUAGGCAGAGGAAGUACGAGGCAAUAACA